GCCCCCGUAGCUCAGGGGAUAGAGCGUCGGUUUCCUAAACCGUGCGUCGCAGGUUCGAAUCCUGCCGGGGGCACCU
rnacentral:tRNA from 1 species